CUGGGACACAGAGGGGGCUCCGAGACCGGGAUUGAUUCGGGAAACAUACUCGCUGGACCAAGACAAUGUCAUAUAUACUCAGUACAAAGCCAAGUGUGACCAACUGCUUCUACCAGACACCAGGCAAAUAUUCAAUUGCCCAAGACAAUGUAAUAUUACCUCAGUAUAAAGCCAAGUGUGAGCAGCUACUCCUUCCAAACAGCAGCUGAAAAAUCUUCUGUCUUCUGCCAAGGAAAUAUUUGAAUGACGAAGACAAUGUCAUAUUUCCUCAGUACAAAGCCAAGUGUGACCAGCUGCUUCUAACAAUGCAGAGAACAUCCUUUCCACAGGCACAGAGCAGAUUGGAUCAGACUUAGUUUGAGCUCAAUUUCCAGAGAUAAAUCCAAACAAACAAACAGUCAGGCACAACUGCUGAAAGACAAGUUUCUUUUUUCUCUGCAUUCUACAUAGACAUCUUCCCAGUUCCAGUUAAUAUGAUUCAUAGGCCAUGGACAUUUACAGCAUGUCUAAAGUAGGCAAUUGGUGUACUAAAUCAAGUUUACAUUUUAAAAGGGCAUUUUAAAUGUCAGAAACUGGGUAAACAAUGACAUCAUGCUUUUACAUAGUUUCAACAACCAAAUGUGACAAGUAGUGAAUCAUUACUGAGAACACGCACACAUAUACAAAGGUACUGACUGAUUCAGAUUGAACCACCAUAUCAACACACAAGAUACAGAGACUAACAGCAAUGUACACACAUUUACACUGGAGGAAACAGAAAUGAAUAUAUACAAAAUGUUUACACAAAAGCAAGCAACUAAAUCCCAUUCAGGCAGCAUUCCAUUUCAAUAAGGGCGCCAUGGCAGCAGAAGAGCUGCCAACCCCACCUUGAGCUCAACAUCAUUCUCAACAUAUUCACCUUGCUGGAAUAGAAAUUAAAUUUUCACUCUGCUCAGUAUUAAUUUUUUUAUUAAAAAAUGUGUAACUUGGUCUCCAAAUUCACUUUAUU